CCUUCCGUAGGGGGAACCUGCGGAGGGAUCAUUACACAAAUAUGAAGGCGGGCUGGAACCUCUCGGGGUUACAGCCUUGCUGAAUUAUUCACCCUUGUCUUUUGCGUACUUCUUGUUUCCUUGGUGGGUUCGCCCACCACUAGGACAAACAUAAACCUUUUGUAAUUGCAAUCAGCGUCAGUAACAAAUUAAUAAUUACAACUUUCAACAACGGAUCUCUUGGUUCUGGCAUCGAUGAAGAACGCAGCGAAAUGCGAUAAGUAGUGUGAAUUGCAGAAUUCAGUGAAUCAUCGAAUCUUUGAACGCACAUUGCGCCCUUUGGUAUUCCAAAGGGCAUGCCUGUUCGAGCGUCAUUUGUACCCUCAAGCUUUGCUUGGUGUUGGGCGUCUUGUCUCUAGCUUUGCUGGAGACUCGCCUUAAAGUAAUUGGCAGCCGGCCUACUGGUUUCGGAGCGCAGCACAAGUCGCACUCUCUAUCAGCAAAGGUCUAGCAUCCAUUAAGCCUUUUUUUCAACUUUUGACCUCGGAUCAGGUAGGGAUACCCGCUGAACUUAAGCAUAUCAAA
rnacentral:rRNA from 1 species